CUUCAUAAAGAGUGCUUGAUGCAUGGUAGAUGCUUAUUAAAAAUGUGCUCAAUAAGUGGAUGUGUAAAGUGGGGAGAAGAAUAACACCACCUUGCAAGGUUGAGGUGGGAAUGUAGGAAGGGAAGCUCCAUAGUACUUUAUAGUGCCCAGCAUAUACUAGAUGUUGGGAUAGAAAUCUCUGCUCACGUUCGGACAGACCACACCAAGCCAACAUUGUUCCACGUGGAAAGGUUUAAUGAGAGAAGAAGCAUAGAAGAGGCCAUGAGCAUGUGGAGGGGUGGGGGAAGGGAAUGGGGAGAGAAGGAACAAAGGGGAAGAGGGCAAGAGGGCAGGAGCAAGAGGCAAGAGAACAAGAGCAAGAGAAGAGAAGAGAAUGAGGGCAAGCAGCCCCUUUUAUAGUGAGUCAGGAUGCACAUUUGGCUGUUGCCAGGUAACUGUGGGGGUGGAACUUAGACAGAAUACCGACAGUAGGUGCUCAUGAAAUACUUGUUGAAUGGGUGAAUGUUGUGGGGCCAAUGUUAACUAAAGAUUAUGGCGUUGCUAUGAAGAUGGGUUGAUAGUGUGUUGUAGUGUGCUUGCAUACAGUAGGUACUCAAGCAUCUGUUGGGUGAAGAUGGAGGGAUGAGCUCUGAGGCUCAGGAGAGCAGUUCAUGUGGGAUGCAGAGAUGUGAGGAUGUGGGACAUGAUCCUUUGUAGGAAGAGUGGUCAACUAUGCCUAGCUCUCCCAGAUGUGGAAAGUUAAGUUUGGAUUACCCUUCUCCCCUCUCCCCUGUGUCUUUUGUCUCCUAGAAUCCAUGUCCAGAAUCGAGUGCCUCUUUUCUUUCCAGGAUCACUUUUUGGUGGAUUACAGGGAUGAUGGUGCAGGGCUACCGCCAGCCCCUGAAGAGCAGUGACCUCUGGUCAUUGAAUAAAGAGGACACGUCAGAAGAAGUGGUACCUGUGCUGGUGAAUAACUGGAAGAAGGAAUGUGUUAAGUCGAGGAAGCAGCCUGUACAGAUUGUGUAUGCCCCUCCCAAAGAUCCCACCAAGCCUAAGGGAAGUUCUCAGUUGGAUGUGAAUGAGGAAGUGGAGGCACUGAUUGUCAAGUCAUCCCACAAGGACUGGGACCCCUCUCUGUUCAAGGUGUUGUACAAGAUCUUUGGGCCCUACUUCCUCAUGAGCUUCCUGUACAAGGCCCUUCAUGACCUGAUGAUGUUUGUGGGCCCUGAGAUCUUGGAGUAAGAACUCUUGCCUGACUACCUGCUUCCCUGUAACUUCUUGGGUGGUCCUGUCAUAUGUGGGAUCAGGAUUGUUACCUACCCCUUACCUUCAUCUUCACUGUCUUUGCUUAGUUACUAUAUGAGUUGUAGCCACUUUGAUUGCAAGUCACAGAAGCUUCUCGAAUCCAAAGUUAGGAGGAUAUGGGGCUGUCUAGAUCUCAUGAGUAUCUGCAACUGGAAACCAAGAAGGCAGCAAGGGGGCCUCUGCCAUCUUUCUGUCACCUUGGUCUCAGUGUGCUCUAUUUGAUUACCUUUGAGUGAUGUGCUGGUGGGGAGACAUAACUAUCAGUAUGGUGAACCCAAGGCAGAGGUCCCUGUUGUAAGAAUCUGGUACCUGGCAGUUAUAUCACCCUAUAAGGUAAAGUGUUGUCUGAUGGGUGGCUCAGGUGGAAAUCACUAUGUUGUCUUGCAAGUACUUGCCCUUGCUGUAUGUAUCACACUCAAAUCUCCCUCCCAUCCCCACAGAUUGAUUAUCAACUUUGUGAAUGACAGGGAGGCCCCUGACUGGCAGGGCUACUUGUACACAGCACUGCUGUUUGUCAGCGCCUGUCUGCAGACACUGGCACUCCACCAGUACUUUCAUAUCUGCUUCGUCACCGGCAUGCGCAUCAAGACUGCUGUGGUGGGCGCUGUUUACCGCAAGGCUCUUGUGAUCACCAAUUCAGCUAGAAAAUCGUCCACAGUUGGAGAGAUUGUCAACCUCAUGUCCGUGGAUGCCCAGCGCUUCAUGGACUUGGCCACGUAUAUUAACAUGAUCUGGUCAGCCCCUCUGCAAGUCACCCUAGCCCUCUACUUCCUGUGGCUGGUGUGUGUUUUCCCUUGGUCUUCUUCUUGUGCAGGCAGGGAUGGCCUUGACUAGGCACUGACAGGGAGGGCAUGGGUGGGAAAGAAUGUAUCUUGCAUUCAUUUACAUUUUAUUUUCUGGGCUAUUUGCUAAUUUCUGAUAAUUUUUUUUUUUUUUUUGGAUUUCAGCCAGUCAUGCCCUCUUGGGUCCACUGGCCGUUUUGUUUUGUUUUGUUUUGUUUUGUUUUUAAGAUUUAUUUAUUAAGUACACUGUAGCUGUCUUCAGACACACCAGAAAAGGGCAUCAGAUCUCAUUACAGAUGGUUGUGAGCCAACAUGUGGUUGCUGGGAUUUGAACUCAGGACCUCUGGAAGAGCAGCCAGUGCUCUUAACCGCUGAGCCAUCUCUCCAGCCCAAUUUCUGAUAAUUUUAUUCCUUUCAUGUAUCAUUAGGGAUUAGUUUCGUUUUGUGAGUUGGUAGGUGUGCAUUGUCAUGUCUUUGUCUAUGUGGGCUAUAGGUGCUCUGUGUGUGUGUGUGUGUGUGUGUGUGUGUGUGUGUGUGUGUGUGUGUGUGUGUGUGUGUGUAUGAAGUAGACCUCAGGUGUCCUCAAUCUUUCUCUCUCUUACUGAGCCUGGAUCUCACUGAUUUAGUUAGGGUUGUUGGCCGAUGAACUCCAGACUUGGCCCCCCAUCCUGCCCCCGCUUCCUGCUCCAGCACUGGAAUGACAGAUGUACACUGUUACACCUAGCUUGCUUGCUUUCUUUCUUUCUUUCUUUCUUUAUUUAUUUAUUUAUUUAUUUAUUUAUUUAUUUAUUUAUUUAUUUUCUUUAGAGGUGACAGAUGUACACUGUUACACCUAGCUUUAUUUUUAUUUAUUUAUUUUCUUUAGAGGUGACAGAUGUACACUGUUACACCUAGCUUUAUGUAUUUAUGUAUUUAUGUAUUUAUGUAUUUAUGUAUUUAUGUAUUUAUGUAUUUAUGUAUUUAUGUAUUUAUGUAUUUAUGUAUUUAUGUAUUUAUGUAUUUAUGUAUUUAUGUAUUUAUGUAUUUAUGUAUUUAUGUAUUUAUGUAUUUAUUUAUUUAUUUAUUUAUUUAUUUAUUUAUUUAUUUUCUUUAGAGGCAAGGUCUCCCUAUACAGUCCUUGCUGCCCUGAAACUUGCUGUCCUUAAACUCACAGAGACCCUCCUGUCUAUGCCUUCACAGUACUGAGAUUACAGACAUACAUCAUU